UCUUCCUCUUUUCUUGAUUAUAACUAACAUAUGCAUACAUGCACAUUUAUAAGUUCUAAAAUGUGGUAUAACGCAUCUCUAUCGAUGAUAUGGUCAUGAUUUAACAGGUUUUUAAAUUAGUAUCCAUGAUAUAAUCAUAGAUCGACCAAUAUCAGACGGUAUAGCCAUUAUAUAGGUGAAUUAUUAUUUUUAUUUAUCGAAAGUUUAAAAUUCCGUUACAUAAAAGGCUAAUACCAUGAUAUGAUACCCAAUGGCAGCUAAAUAAGAAUCUUGUUGAUUGACUUAAUAAUUUUUUAUUUGCAAAAGAAAUUUCAUAUAUCACGAAGACUAAUACUUUAUAGUAUUAGCCAAUUUACAUGCAAUAUUGGGAUGGAGGGUUCAAAAAUCCGUUACGUAGGGGUUGAGAUUUAAAACCUGCUUAAACAUUGCCUUUUCCCUAUCUCAGUUAAGAGAUCUUUUCUUGUUUGGUAUUUAAGUAGAUUAAUUAGAAUAUUAAUUUUAGUUUGUUGUUAUCAUAAUAAGUACGUAAAAUUUCUCUUUCUAGAUCCAAAAAGAAAGUCUAUUUGUGGCAUACGUUUGUUUCUUGGAUUAUUUUUUGAAUUUCUUUUAGUACUGAAGUUGGGAUUUCUACGUCCUCAAUUAUUUUACUUUCCCAGAUAAUAAAAGUUUUUUUGUUUUUUUCCAGUCACCAUUAUUCAGAUUCCAAAACUCAUUUGUCACAUUGUUUUCAAUCAUUUAAGUAUUUAUUCAUUUUCAUAUGGCUCCGUUUUUCUUAGCCCUAAUAUUUUGUGUGGAUUUAUUUCUGUUGCAACUUACAUAUAGGUCCCAUCUCUCUCUCUCUCUCUCUCUCUCUCUCUCUCUCUUUGUUGCAACUUACAUAUAGGUCCCAUCUCUCUCUAUCGUAUCCGCUCAAAUUU